GAAAUGACAAAUGAAACCUUGUAGUAUGAAAUGAAGAAAGUGGCGCUAAAUGCUUUCUUGUUUGUAGAGCUAAAUUGACUGGCAUCAACGGUGAUCUUUGAUUUUCCAAUUUUUUACAUUAAAAAAUGACAAUGAGAAAUAAUCCGUUCACGAAUCCUCAUGUUUAGGAGUACUGCAUCAAGCAUUUUCCCUCCAACAUUUUCAAAGUAAAUAUCUAUGCCUUCAAGAAAAUACCUUUUAAGAGCUGCCUCAAAAUCUGGCUCUUCCUUGUAGUUGAAUGCCUCAUCGAAUCCAAACUUGUUCUUCAGCAGAUCAACCUUUUCUUUUGAUCCAGCACUUCGAAUAACAUAACAACCCAAUAAUUUUGCCAAUUGCCCAACAAUCUGACCAACUGCACCAGAUGCUACUGAUACAUAGAAAUAUUCUCCUUUCUUAGGAGAGCAUAACUCAUAAAAACCAACAUAGGCAGUCACACCAGGCAUACCUAGAAUUCCAGUAUAAUAGGAAAGGGGCAGAUCUGUUUGUUCAAUUUUAAUCAAAGCCUGAGCAUCAACUGCGAGAGUAUACUCUUCCCAUCCAGUAAAACCCCGAGCCAGGUCUCCUUUCUUGUAAUUUGGAUGUGUAGAAUCCAGAAUUUUGACUACUCCAUAUCCACUAAGAGGAAAUUUACAGGGGGUCACUGCGGUGGUUGGACGAAGGAGAAAGGUUGACCCGUCUCACCUACGCCAAUUCUGGCAUUGGGAAUGCAUCUGGGGUAUCUGAAGAUGGUGAGGUAGCCCAUAACUUCGAUCCAAUUCCAAAGGAAUUUCGGUGACCUAUAUGUUCCGCCCAAAAUGCAGACCCGAGCAACAGUCGAAUCUCUGUGAAACAAAAGUACCUUUUUGAUGCACUGCAGUGUGUUUGGCACCUUUGGGAUGCGCCUAGGAUACCAGAUGUUGUUCCUCUAGCUUGUCCACACCAAGAU
rnacentral:misc_RNA from 1 species